UACGUAGGGCGCGAGCGUUGUCCGGAAUUACUGGGCGUAAAGAGCUCGUAGGCGGCUUGUCACGUCGGUUGUGAAAGCCCGGGGCUUAACCCCGGGUCUGCAGUCGAUACGGGCAGGCUAGAGUUCGGUAGGGGAGAUCGGAAUUCCUGGUGUAGCGGUGAAAUGCGCAGAUAUCAGGAGGAACACCGGUGGCGAAGGCGGAUCUCUGGGCCGAUACUGACGCUGAGGAGCGAAAGCGUGGGGAGCGAACAGG
rnacentral:rRNA from 1 species